rnacentral:rRNA from 1 species
GAUGCAACCUUUGUUCGUGCUGCUUUCAGCAACAGGCUUUCUAUAUUCAUCCAAGAUACAUCAGCUAUUUUUGUGGCACUUCUUCUUGGUAUGCUGCUAGAAUGGCGGGUUGCUCUUGUUGCACUCGCAACCUUGCCUAUCCUUGUGAUUUCUGCAGUCGCACAGGUUAGCCCUCAUCAAAUUUCAUCAUUCUGA